rnacentral:lncRNA from 13 species
UCAAGUGAAAGUACUGAGAAGAACAGAAAACAAUACUGUAUGUUAUAUUCAGGAGCUGAAGCACAUUUAUUGUGACAUUUGAUGAUAGUGUAAUAAUGCGCCUUGGUACUAUAUUAUUUGGUGUGCCAUUCUUAGAUCUUUUGUUGCCAUAACGACAGAAUAUGUGUGUGUGUAUUUAGUAGAAAGACAAUCCUUUUUUUCCCAGUCAAUUUUUUCUUUGAUCUACAGAACUUGCUUCUUUUCUCUGAAGUUGUUCACAAUACAGCAUGAUAGAAGGAGCACAGAGUGCCAAAGGCAGGGAACUCCAGUGCUUCACUAGUGACUCAUAAGAAAACUUAAUAGAAGGUCCUAGUGCCCACUAGCCCUCCAGUACCUGAUUGACGUGGUCCCAAACUAAAGUAGCCUAACCUUCAUUGAACCAAGCACUUCAGAGGCAUGGGAAGAGGUAUGGGGAAGGAGUCCUUGCACUCUGGCAAUGAGGGAAUUUCAAUUAACUGUCCAAAUCCAACCAAAUCUGGUAGAGACAACAACUAGUAAUAGUGUUAUCAAAGGACUCAAACAGGUAUGUGUGUUUAGACAUGUGGAUAUAUUCUGUUCUGCUUAUUUAUCAGAGUUAGUUCAUGAAGCCAUUUGAAAAAAGUUGCUCACCCACUUACCAGUGAAAUUCUGUGUGACAGUUUUUUUUUUUUAGAUAUUCCCGUUCAUUCGAGACACUUAGGCCUUUUCUUGCAUUCCACAUUUUUCAGUGAGUGUGCCAGCUUGUCCUCUAUUCUCUGAACUCACCCAGUUCAAGUCUUGUUUUUAAAAAUUUUAUUGAUUAUACUCUUUUCGAAGAAAAUGUCAUAAAUUCUAUGUAAAAAUAAAUAUGCAGUAGUUACUAUCCA